rnacentral:lncRNA from 13 species
CCUCCGGGGCGUGGCGCGGGGCGUGUCCGCGCGGGGGGUGUGGCGCGGCGCGGCGCGCCCUGUCCAUGGUGCGGGCGGCGGCGCGGGUGUCCCCGCGGCGAGAGCGCGGCGGCGCGGGGCUGUAUGGACGUGAUGUCCCCGCAACAGGAGCACCUCGCCCCGGGCCGCUCGUCCUCGGUGAGCGGCGAGAGCAGGGGCUUCGCCGCCGCCGACAGCAAGAAGAAAAUGAAGAGUUUGGCCCAAAGACGCCAGUCUGCACCAUCUUUGAUCUUUGUCAAAGCACUCAGCAGAUCUAGAUCGGCCUCAAGGAGCAGCAAUUCUCACCUGUGCCUGACUUCCUUGUUUGGCUGUGCAAAGCACAUUGCUCUUCAUCACCAAACUGAUGGAUGAGUUUGAUCUUUCCACUCGUUUUGUUGUGUAAAUGCUUAACUCUGGUGAAGUGCUUUCUCUGAAGGAGAGCUGAAGAGCAAUGAAAUGACUUCUUAUGUUUUCUAAUCGCCUCCAAAUGUUUUACCUCAGACCUGUCUCUGCUCUUAGUUCUUAUAGACACAGCCAGUCUGCAAAAUCUAUUACUCUUCUCUGGCAGUGAACCUUAAUACUGGGACUCCAUAACACUUACUUGUUAAUGGUUGAUUAAUGAAUUGUAGAUAAUAAAGCGCCUAUCUGAAGUUAACAAACAUCUGUGAGCGAUUUAUUUGAACACUCUCACCUCAGCAGCUGGCUCACCUCAAUAUUUGUUGAAAUUAAUGAACAAGUGCAAAGUUUAAAAGGGCAGGAAAUACUUAGAAGCCAAGUCAGUUUGUAUUUUUAUACCACUUUAUAUGUCACGUGUCCCUGGUUUAUAUACAGGGCACUUUUAUAAAACGUAGUGGCACUUUGGACAGACUUACUCUGGGGCAUUUUAAAGUUUAUUAAUGCUAUUUAUUCAAAGAAACCAUUGUGACAUCUGGAGAUGGCUAUUUAGGCAUUCAGAGGACUAAGGCUUUUUGAUGGUAGUGUUAUCGUUGCUGUGAUGACACAAGAAUGUGAGCAAGGCAAGAUGAUCUAGCUGGAAAAACCAGGUGCUUGUUUGUGCCGUUGUCCUCUUACCCAGUCCUGAAAGAGAAGUAAGUCUGAAAGUCUUGCGUGCUUAAAAGCUCAUCAGCUUUUUCUCCAGCUAUAUAAUUUGGUUUAAUGAACAUUCAGCUUUCAUUACGAAUCUUGCCUUGCCUUGUCAAUCAUAUAGAAGAAGUUACAUGAUAUUUGGCCUAUAGAGGAAUUUGGGGAUAUCUGUAUGGCAUGGUGGUGCACAAAGGGGAAAUGGUGCUGUAAUCCACGCCUCACUUGACUUGUACCUGCAGGCAGAAGAGAAACAUAGUAAUAGUAGAGAUACUAUAGUGGAAUUUGGGCCCUUACAUCCAUGAGAUGAAAAUAUGCAGAUCACCAUUGCCACAUGUUCUUGUUUCUCUUCCUUUUUUUCUGUACAGCUUCUUUUUCAUCACAAAAUUGUGAUGAAUAGCCAUGUAAAGACUCUUCCACAUUAUCAGAUGUACUCUUCAGAAGCAUUUUGAGCAAGGUUAUUGUAGAAAUGUAUUGGAAAAGUAAGCUUUUGGUAUUCUUGGCUCAUAUUCAGGUGCAGAAAAAAAAGUUCGACUGUUAACUCCAUUAACGUGUAUGAAAUCAGCAAAGGAUUUGGGUUAGUUAUAUUUGUCCCCAGACUUGUUCCACAGUUGUAAUUUUCCUCUUACUUUUUCUUGGUGUCUUUUAGUGAAACCUGCACAACUUAAUGAUACAGUUCAGUGCAAUACAAAUUACGUGCUUGAAACAGAAAUGUCUGAUGCCUGGAUUUAAAGCAUCAGGUAUUGUCAUCCCAAAUAAUUGAUACAGAAUAAUAAGGACUUGUUGCAAGUCAAAUUUUCAGCUUUUGUUCUGCUGUCCCUCAAAACAAUUUUCACAUGUGACAAAAUUGAAGUUUUUGCUCUGCAUUAGUAAUCUUCUGCUUGCAUCUCUGACAGGGACAGCCAAACUCUGUGCUGCAGUCGCUAGCAGCUUCCCCUUUUCUAUUGCACACCUCAACAGAUCUUUGAAAGUGAUAUUUUUACAUGCUGAAACUAAGAAAUAUAAUUUCACAAUUUCUAAGUCUGGAAGAUCAUUUAUAGAUCUGUAUCUCUGCACAUUAAAGGUGUUAAAAUACUGAAAAUGUAACAACUCUUUUUUACAGUAUGGAGUGUGUUUAUGAUGUUAUUUUGGUGUAAGCUGGAAGCACAGGCUGUUUUAAAAACCCCUAUUACUUAGUCCCCUAUGGCUCUGUGGCUCACGUGCAUGAGCACACAGACGCAGGGAUGGCUCCAGUAAUAUUAAGCCGAUGGCAAGGAGUUGAGAAGGGUCCUUGCUUAGAGUUCCACAGAAAGCAGUUUAUUGCUACAACUUGCGAAGGGGUCUAGAGGCAAAUGACCCUGAGCGCAGGACAGCUCGAGCUUAAGUACAGGGGUGUGGCUAGCACCAGGAGCCAACCGGGGAAGCUGAACUGAGGUAUAUUACCAUAACCAAACAAGGCAUCCUGCGAGAGGCUCCUUUCCCUCACCAUAACCCGUAAGUCUUUGGCACCGGAGACUGUCUUACCAAGAACUCUAUCUCUUGUACCACAGGUCAAUCGGCCACCACAAACCCCAAAGGAUAUUUUUUAGAAAGUUUAUGAAUAAAUCCCUAAAGAACCUGAAAAGGAAGUUCCUAAAAUGUUACCCCUAUCCAAUUUUGUUAUGUGACUUUUAUGGCUGAAGAAGUGGAAGGUAAAAACAGAAGAUUUCACAAGUUUCCACGGUGUUUUCUCCCCUUGUUUACAUAGAGGUAAUGCCAUUCACAGAGAGGCUGUUCUUCCUUCUUCCAGUGCACAGUAAGUGAUUCUGGCAUGUCAUCUUCUAGGGGUCCUGUGCCAAAGGCUAAAUAGCCUAGAUAACGAAGAUCAUAUGUGUAAUCUAGUAAUACAUUCCACUUGGCGUGAAUCAAACACAGAGUGUUCCCAGAGUCUUGGACAUUGUGUUUUCAGGGUUUUAGUCAGAAGAUAUGUGGAUGAUCCAAGCUAUGUGACUAGAAGAAGACAAAAAUAGAGACUUCUAAUAAAUGUAAAUUGCCAGAAAGCCUUAACUGUCUCUUUUUCACAGGGAAGAUGAGUAGUUGGUGUUUCAGGCAAAACUCAUCGCAGGGAGGAAGGGGAUAAAAGUUCAUUGCAAGUAAGCAGCUUGUUAGGUGGAUAUUUCAGUUGUGAUAUUUUCA